CAAUGAAACUUGUUACACUGUUUGAAGGAAAAUUUAAUAUGGUUUUACAGUGAUAAAAAUGGCGGUGGUAACUACAUGGUUCUUUUUGACCAGUGGAUUUCCAGUCGUUUCUGAUUACUGGAAAUUUAAUUAAAAAAAAUAAUUUUAACUAACCAAUUGGCUAAUGAAUCAUUUAGACUGAUUUGUGAAUAAUUACGACCAAUAACCCUACAAUUUUAAGUCAAAGGAACAAUUUGCACACAAUUGCUGACAUCGCCAUGGCGUACACAAGAUAAAUUUCUAGGUUAGUAAAUAUCUUAGAGCAGAGCAAAACCAGAAAAGAAAAAAGAAAAGAAAUUUCCAUUACUUUUCCAGGCCUGGAAAAUACUAUUUUAAAAUUCCCAGAUAUUUCAAUGUCUUCCAAGUCUGUGGAAAUCAGACUCUAGAGACUGUUGUGCAUGAAAAUCCCAGGAGAUCAACAGUUACAGAAAUACUCAAACCAGCCCAUCUGGCACCAACAAUCAUGCCACAGUCCAAAUCAUUGAGAUCACAUUUUUAACCCCAUUCUGAUGGUUGAUGUGAACAUUAACGGAAGCUUCUGACCCGUAUCUGCAUGAUUUUAUACACUGCACUGCUGCCACAUGAUUGGCUGAUUGGAUAAUUGAAUGAAUAAGUAGUUGUACAGGUGUACCUAAUAAAGUGCUUACUGAGUGUUUAUUAGAAAGGAGCAUAACUCUAUAAAUGUACUUAAAUUAAAUUAAUUGAAAGUCAGUAACUGUAAUCUGAUUACAACAAUUAAAAAUGUAAUGCAUUAAACUACUGCUUUUGAUUAAAAAUAUUUAGAUUAAACUAAUUACUUUGUAAUUGAUUGCACCCAACACUGCUUGAAACAUAUCAAUACAUUAUGUUUCUCUCACUGAAGUGCCAGUUUAAUGCUAACUUUACAGAAUAAAGCUCUUAAGCCACAAGUUUUUUAAUAAUUUUAUUUGUAUCUGGACAAAAAAAUUCUUAGACAUUUGUUCAGAAUUGCUCAUGUAUAUGUUUGUGCGACAUGUUCCGUUUGUGUGUCUGUCACUCAUUCAUAUCGUCGGUAAAGUCAAGUCAGUCACAGUAUAAGAUGGGCAAUUGUAGGCAGAGGAAGUGGGAAAAAGAUUUAAAUAUAAAUACAUUUAAAAGGAAAGAAAUUACCGAACCUGGAUACAGUAUUCUCCUGGUCAAGUCUCAAUUUUAUGUAUGAAAAAUACUUAAACAUGUAGCUUUGUAAACAUAGGUGAGUCAGCAUUACUAGACACAGCCAAGUCUUAUGCAUUUGCUUCAGGUUGGGGUUGAGACAAAAAUUCUCAAGAUUUAAUUUUCAACAUCUACAAGAUCUAGGACGGAAGACCAUAAAGACCCAAUUUUAAUCAUUUGUGGCCUAGUUUUAUCGUUAUCUGCACUUCUCAGAAGUUAUUUUUAAUGAGUAAAGAACAGUGCUAGGACUGCAAAUUUAAAUUGUGCCAAUGUAACAAUGUAUUCAUUGAAUUUCUUGUUUAAAUGUCAUUCACAGAGAUACACUGAUUGUACGACACCCAGAUUUGAAAUAAUAAUAACAAUAAUAAUUGGCACCUUAAAGUCCUUAAAUGAGAACAAAAGUCUGCCAUAGAGGCCUGAACUGAUAACGGUUAUUUGUCUAACUGCUAUAAUUGUGCUACGAUUAGACAUAGAAGGAAGUCUGACCUGGAACACCACAGUUGGGUCUACAUGGUCAGCUAGGACACAAAGAUUUCAACAAGGGGAAGGAAAGCAAAUGUAUAGAGUUUCUCCUUCAAUCAUUAUUAUCUUUCUCGGUUCCUCUGUGCCAAUAAAAUGGUUUCCAAAAAGGAACACAAGCUAAGCAAACAGUACACACUGAGACAGUAUUUCAACAUUGCAUUGGCCUUGGUUUAAAAGUAUGGAUUAGUCUAGCACAAUACAUUAUGCAUUUUUAUCUUUAUACCUUUAUCUCGAGUUUACCAAUUUGGUGUACAAAUAGCAGACCAUCACAUCUCUAAUGAAACUGCGGCAGACAAUGUAACCUCUAAUUUAUAAGAAAAUAGAGCAGCAAUAUUUGCACAAAAUAUGUGCACAUUCAAGUAAAUAAAAAAAGGAAAACAAAAAUCAAAGACAGAUUGAUACGCAUCAGCCUCUUAUCUUUGUUGGUCUGAUUGGCACUUUUGUGAAUAGGAGUGCAUUUCCAUUAAGAGUUUUUUUUUUUUUUUUUUUUUUUUGAUCAACUUGAUAUGAAC